UACGUAGGGGGCGAGCGUUGUCCGGAAUCAUUGGGCGUAAAGCGCGUGUAGGCGGCCCGGUAAGUCCGCUGUGAAAGUCCAGGGCUCAACCCUGGGAUGCCGGUGGAUACUGUCGGGCUCGAGUCCGGAAGAGGCGAGUGGAAUUCCUGGUGUAGCGGUGAAAUGCGCAGAUAUCAGGAGGAACACCGAUGGCGAAGGCAGGUCUCUGGGCCAAGCUGACUGAC
rnacentral:rRNA from 1 species